rnacentral:tRNA from 1 species
GCCAAUGUAGCUCAAUUGGUAGAGCAACCGCUUCGUAAGCGGUAGGUUGUCGGUUCGACCCCGACCAUUGGCU